UACGUAGGGUGCGAGCGUUAAUCGGAAUUACUGGGCGUAAAGCGUGCGCAGGCGGUUCGCCGUGUCCGAUGUGAAAGCCCCCGGGCUUAACCUGGGAAUGGCAUUGGAAACUGGCGGGCUUGAGUGUGGCAGAGGGGGGGUGGAAUUCCACGUGUAGCAGUGAAAUGCGUAGAGAUGUGGAGGAACACCGAUGGCGAAGGCAGCCCCCUGGGUCAAGAUUGACGCUCAUGCACGAAAGCGUGGGGAGCAAACAGG
rnacentral:rRNA from 1 species